CUCCUCCCCCAGUUCUGUCACUUUGGCACCAAGUUUUCAAAUUGCUUCAAUUUGGGGCACAUGCAAAAUAUGUUAACAUUAACUGGAUAAAGUUGUGCAGCUACUUUUGCCUGUAAUUGGUCCGUCAACAAAAUGGAGGUCCCUUUGAAAAACUGACCUCGACAAUCUGUCACAAAAUGGGACUAAACCCACCCACUUCACGAAACCAUGGUUUGGGUCAGAUUUUCUCCAAAAAGUGGGAUUGUCUGUGUCGGGUCUGUGCCUGGCCAGAGCCCUCAUUAGGGGUUUCGCCCUACACCUAAGUAAAGAGUCGCUUUCCUUGGGACUAGGGAGCAAUGGAGUUUCUCUCCCAGUCAAUAUCCAGGAGGGAGGCGGCGAAGAAUUACUGAGUUCCCUAUUGGGGAACUAGUUCUCCAUCACAGGGACCAGAAUCCGUGCGAAUGAGAAGGCAGCUAGUGGCUCCGCAGUGCGCCGGGCCCAUGGGGGACCUCGGCUGCAAAGCAAAGGUCUUUCAGGUUAAGCCCGACAAACCCAAGGUUUCUAGUCUAGGGUAAAUCAACAAAAAUGCCCGAUCUCUCGUCUUUCUACCUGCCGGCCCGACCCCGCCUCGUCCCAUUGGUAGCAGCUCCCGCCAAUCGUCGGAAUCACCGCCUUCAGGCCCGCCCACCGGCCCCAGAUUGGUGUGGAAAGAAGAGCGGGGGACCUCGUGCUACCAAUCUCCGGCUCCCCUACGGCCGUCUAGCGCACUAGGCAGGUCGAGGGCUAGAUGCCGCUCGCUCGCUCCGCUCCCCUCCCCCCUUCUCCACGCACUUCCCACCCCCGUCCCGGUUCCUUACGCCCGUCCCCGGGGCUCUGGCUUGUGGCUUACCGUCCCGAGAAGUGCCCAUCAGCUGGUCCAGCAUAGCACGCAUCUGGGCCUGCGCCGACAUGGCGGCGGCGGCAGCAGCAGCGGCGUAGUGAGCGAGCAAUCGGGAGGGUCCAGCUCCCGCAACAGAAGCGGUACGGACCACACGGAAAGGCGCCACCGCCGCUGCCGCCACCCUACAAAAGCCGUCAACCCCCCCCCCGGAGCUGACGCCGCCGCUCGCCGCCACCGUCGCCGCCUACAUGAGCGCGCACGCUCCUCGCGCUCACUCGUUUCCCGCGGGGACUCCACCAACUGGCGUUCAACCGCAGUACCUCCGCCCGCCCCCGCCGGGGAGGUGUUCCACCCUAACGGCUCUUGGGCGCGUGCUCGUGGCCUUCCCCUCCCGAGAUCUCGCGAGGCCUCUUGUUUUCGAUGA
rnacentral:lncRNA from 1 species